CUAUGCGCCUUGCCAGCCCGCUCAGGUGUGCCAGCGCCGCGGUAAUACGUAGGGGCAAGCGUUAUCCGGAUUUACUGGGUGUAAAGGGGGCGCAGACGGCGAUGCAAGCCAGGAGUGAAAGCCCGGGGCCAACCCCGGGACUGCUCUUGGAACUGCGUGGCUGGAGUGCAGGAGGGGCAGGCGGAAUUCCUGGUGUAGCGGUGAAAUGCGUAGAUAUCAGGAGGAACACCGGUGGCGAAGGCGGCCUGCUGGACUGCAACUGACGUUGAGGCCCGAAAGCGUGGGGAGCAAACAGG
rnacentral:rRNA from 1 species